CUACGGGGUCUGCAGUGGGGAAUAUUGCACAAUGAGCGCAAGCCUGAUGCAGCCAUGCCGCGUGUAUGAAGAAGGCCUUCGGGUUGUAAGUACUUUCAGCGGGGAGGAAGGGAGUAAAGUUAAUACCUUUGCUCAUUGACGUUACCCGCAGAAGAAGCACCGGCUAACUCCGUGCCAGCAGCCGCGGUAAUACGGAGGGUGCAAGCGUUAAUCGGAAUUACUGGGCGUAAAGCGCACGCAGGCGGUUUGUUAAGUCAGAUGUGAAAUCCCCGGGCUCAACCUGGGAACUGCAUCUGAUACUGGCAAGCUUGAGUCUCGUAGAGGGGGGUAGAAUUCCAGGUGUAGCGGUGAAAUGCGUAGAGAUCUGGAGGAAUACCGGUGGCGAAGGCGGCCCCCUGGACGAAGACUGACACUCAGGUGCGAAAGCGUGGGGAGCAAACAGGAUUAGAUACCCGUGUAGUC
rnacentral:rRNA from 1 species